rnacentral:rRNA from 1 species
AUUGAACGCUGGCGGCAUGCCUUACACAUGCAAGUCGAACGGCAGCACGGGAGCAAUCCUGGUGGCGAGUGGCGAACGGGUGAGUAAUGUAUCGGAACGUACCUUUCAGUGGGGGAUAACGUAGCGAAAGUUACGCUAAUACCGCAUAUUCUGUGAGCAGGAAAGCAGGGGAUCGCAAGACCUUGCGCUGGUUGAGCGGCCGAUAUCAGAUUAGCUAGUUGGUGAGGUAAAGGCUCACCAAGGCGACGAUCUGUAGCGGGUCUGAGAGGAUGAUCCGCCACACUGGAACUGAGACACGGUCCAGACUCCUACGGGAGGCAGCAGUGGGGAAUUUUGGACAAUGGGCGCAAGCCUGAUCCAGCCAUGCCGCGUGAGUGAAGAAGGCCUCGGUUGUAAGACUCUUCUAGCCGGAGAAACGAC